rnacentral:rRNA from 1 species
UAGGGAAUCUUCGGCAAUGGGGGGAACCCUGACCGAGCAACGCCGCGUGAGUGAAGAAGGUUUUCGGAUCGUAAAGCUCUGUUGUUAAGGAAGAACGAGUGUGAGAAUGGAAAGUUCAUACUGUGACGGUACUUAACCAGAAAGGGACGGCUAACUACGUGCCAGCAGCCGCGGUAAUACGUAGGUCCCGAGCGUUGUCCGGAUUUAUUGGGCGUAAAGCGAGCGCAGGCGGUUAGAUAAGUCUGAAGUUAAAGGCAGUGGCUCAACCAUUGUAGGCUUUGGAAACUGUUUAACUUGAGUGCAGAAGGGGAGAGUGGAAUUCCAUGUGUAGCGGUGAAAUGCGUAGAUAUAUGGAGGAACACCGGUGGCGAAAGCGGCUCUCUGGUCUGUAACUGACGCUGAGGCUCGAAAGCGUGGGGAGCGAACAGGACUAGAUACCCUGGUAGUCCACGCCGUAAACGAUGAGUGCUAGGUGUUAGGUCCUUUCCGGGACUUAGUGCCGCAGCUAACGCAUUAAGCACUCCGCCUGGGGAGUACGACCGCAAGGUUG